AUUGAACGCUGGCGGCAGGCCUAACACAUGCAAGUCGAGCGGAUGACGGGAGCUUGCUCCUUGAUUCAGCGGCGGACGGGUGAGUAAUGCCUAGGAAUCUGCCUGGUAGUGGGGGACAACGUUUCGAAAGGAACGCUAAUACCGCAUACGUCCUACGGGAGAAAGCAGGGGACCUUCGGGCCUUGCGCUAUCAGAUGAGCCUAGGUCGGAUUAGCUAGUUGGUGGGGUAAUGGCCCACCAAGGCGACGAUCCUUAACUGGUCUGAGAGGAUGAUCAGUCACACUGGAACUGAGACACGGUCCAGACUCCUACGGGAGGCAGCAGUGGGGAAUAUUGGACAAUGGGCGAAAGCCUGGUCCAGCCAUGCCGCGUGUGUGAAGAAGGUCUUCGGAUUGUAAAGCACUUUAAGUUGGGAGGAAGGGCAGUAAGUUAAUUCCUUGCUGUUUUGACGCUACCGACAGAAUAAGCACCGGCUAACUCUGUGCCAGCCGCCGCCGUAA
rnacentral:rRNA from 1 species